AACGGUCUAUACCUGCGGUACCUGCGGAGGGAUCAUUACCGAGUUUACAACUCCCAAACCCCUGUGAACAUACCACUCGUUGCCUCGGCGGAUCACCGCGCCCCGUGAAACGGGCCGGCCCGCCAGAGGACCUAAACUCAAAUGUUUUAUUGUAUCUUCUGAGUAAAAACACAAAUAAAUCAAAACUUUUAACAAUGGAUCUCU
rnacentral:misc_RNA from 1 species